rnacentral:lncRNA from 1 species
CAGCCUAAGUUACUACAAACUUAAACCCGUAUACUCCUGUAACCUUCUGGAGGAGGCAACAGAGAACAGAGGGCUUCUUUUCAACAUCUCACACCAAAAGACUUUUGUUGGAAUAACCCAAGGAUCUGUUUUUUAGGGUAAUUUAAUAUGGCGUCUUCCCUUAAAGAGCUUGCAACAAUGCUAGAAAUUUUAAAAUGACCCAUGAGAAACAACAAGAAAACAACUGAUAGGCUAAAAGGAGCGCCAGAUUGGAGUUAGAAGAUAUAGAUGACAAUCCUGACUACUACUGUGGCAGUUUGACCAGGGAAAGACCUUAUCAAUUCUCAAAAACA